rnacentral:rRNA from 1 species
ACGUGGAGCCAUCCUUGAAAUACCACCCUGGUUUGUUUGCGGUUCUAACCUUGGUCCGUUAUCCGGAUCGGGGACAGUGCAUGGUGGGCAGUUUGACUGGGGCGGUCUCCUCCCAAAGUGUAACGGAGGAGUUCGAAGGUACGCUAGGUACGGUCGGAAAUCGUGCUGAUAGUGCAAUGGCAUAAGCGUGCUUGACUGUGAGACUGACAAGUCGAACAGGUGCGAAAGCAGGACAUAGUGAUCCGGUGGUUCUGAAUGGAAGGGCCAUCGCUCAACGGAUAAAAGGUACUCUGGGGAUAACAGGCUGAUACCGCCCAAGAGUUCAUAUCGACGGCGGUGUUUGGCACCUCGAUGUCGGCUCAUCUCAUCCUGGGGCUGUAGCCGGUCCCAAGGGUAUGGCUGUUCGCCAUUUAAAGAGGUACGUGAGCUGGGUUUAAAACGUCGUGAGACAGUUUGGUCCCUAUCUGCCGUGGGCGUUGGAUACUUGACGGAGCCUGCUCCUAGUACGAGAGGACCGGAGUGGACGUACCUCUGGUGUACCGGUUGUCAUGCCAAUGGCAUUGCCGGGUAGCUAAGUACGGAAGAGAUAACCGCUGAAGGCAUCUAAGCGGGAAACUCGUCUGAAGAUUAGGUAUCCCGGGGACUUGAUCCCCCUGAAGGGUCGUUCGAGACCAGGACGUUGAUAGGUCGGGUGUGGAAGCGCAGUAAUGCGUUAAGCUAACCGAUACUAAUUGCCCGUGAGGCUUGAUCCUAUAACACUGAUGGUU